rnacentral:rRNA from 1 species
CCUCCAAGGCUAAAUACUCCUGACUGACCGAUAGUGAACCAGUACCGUGAGGGAAAGGCGAAAAGAACCCCGGCGAGGGGAGUGAAAAAGAACCUGAAACCGUGUACGUACAAGCAGUGGGAGCACCUUUGUGGUGUGACUGCGUACCUUUUGUAUAAUGGGUCAGCGACUUAUAUUCUGUAGCAAGGUUAACCGUAUAGGGGAGCCGAAGGGAAACCGAGUCUUAACUGGGCGUUAAGUUGCAGGGUAUAGACCCG